UUUCUGGUAUUUAUCAAUAAUGUUUAUCUAAAACCAUCUUGGAUAUCUAGGUAUAAAUAAAAAAGUACUAACCAUCAUUUUCACAAUUUUCCCUGGUGUACAAGGUGAAAUCAUCCAUAGAUCACUCUGAAAACUUCUGAUAAUCUUCUUCUAAAUUGGGUCAAGAUCUUUAAUUGUUUUUACAUAGGCGGUAAUGGUAACGUUUUUUCCUGUAGCUCAGUCCAUAUCGUAAACUUGGAUAUGUAUGAUAGCUCGUUUCGAAGCUGUGACAUUUUCACAUAUGUGGUUAAAUUUUCGGGGUACGAAGUGAGAUUACUUUUUCCGUAAAUUAGCAUACCCCGAACAUCCUUUUGUGAUGCGGCUCCUUGUGGUAAAAUAUCCCCUUUUUAACACAAUAAGUUCUUUGAAAAUUUAAUACUUUGAACACAUUUAAUAGCUCCAUAGUUUUUACACAUUUAUACUAUGUUCCUCUACUUUCCUAAUCACCACAAAUGGUUAAGUUCAGUCAUUUGUAAAAAAUAGAAACAUGUCCAAUAUCACUACACAGAGAUUUUUUCUUUACACGUGACUUUUGAGUUCCUCAUUUCGAGAUGCAUUAGGGAUGUUGU
rnacentral:lncRNA from 1 species